CAGACUUGGAAGCAACGUUGCCUAAGUCCAAAAGGACAGGAAUGAAAUUCACAAGCAUUUUUCUACUCAGCGACUUGGUGAGAAGUUGAUUUUGGGUCGAGUCUCCAAUUUUAUCUUGGGACUGUUUCAAAUGGAGAGUAAGGUAAUGACAUUUAAGUGGGGGAAAUGGUUGAGCUCUUUCUCCUCUCCUCUUCCCAAGUGUAGACCCAAACUCGAUCACAUUUGCUAUCACGGUAGGAUCUUAUGGGACUUUCUGUCCUCCCACCAAUUUCAAAUCUUUCUUGGAUUAACACCCUGUUAGCAAAGUUUAGGGAAACACUGCUCACCACGGUCUCAUAGAAGGGUGAUUGCAGAGUAUUCAGGAAUGUGUAAACCAUCUCGUUAUUACUUAUAAGAGACUUUCCUUGAGCAACACUCUUUCCACCUUUGGGUAUACUCCUUGAAUGAUUUUGAAUCCUUUUUCACCAUGCUCUAUAGUUGUAAUCUAUGAGAUGCCACAUCCAUGUUAUAUUUGAAAUGCUUCAAGAAAUCAUCCAGCAGAUCCUCCCAAGACCAGAUGCACGAAGGUUCGAGAGAAGCGUACCGGUUGGUGCCAUGCCAGCCAAACUCUUAAAAGAAACAAAAUGAAAACUUUUCACCAUAUGCAUGCACCACCAUUUUC
rnacentral:lncRNA from 1 species